AGAGUUUGAUCCUGGCUCAGGACGAACGCUGGCGGCGUGCUUAACACAUGCAAGUCGAACGGAAAGGCCCCUUCGGGGGUGCUCGAGUGGCGAACGGGUGAGUAACACGUGGGUGAUCUGCCCUGCACUUCGGGAUAAGCUUGGGAAACUGGGUCUAAUACCGGAUAGGACCAUGGGAUGCAUGUCUUGUGGUGGAAAGCUUUUGCGGUGUGGGAUGGGCCCGCGGCCUAUCAGCUUGUUGGUGGGGUGAUGGCCUACCAAGGCGACGACGGGUAGCCGGCCUGAGAGGGUGUCCGGCCACACUGGGACUGAGAUACGGCCCAGACUCCUACGGGAGGCAGCAGUGGGGAAUAUUGCACAAUGGGCGCAAGCCUGAUGCAGCGACGCCGCGUGGGGGAUGACGGCCUUCGGGUUGUAAACCUCUUUCAGCAGGGACGAAGCGUAAGUGACGGUACCUGCAGAAGAAGCACCGGCCAACUACGUGCCAGCAGCCGCGGUAAUACGUAGGGUGCGAGCGUUGUCCGGAAUUACUGGGCGUAAAGAGCUCGUAGGUGGUUUGUCGCGUUGUUCGUGAAAUUCCAUGGCUUAACUGUGGGCGUGCGGGCGAUACGGGCAGACUGGAGUACUGCAGGGGAGACUGGAAUUCCUGGUGUAGCGGUGGAAUGCGCAGAUAUCAGGAGGAACACCGGUGGCGAAGGCGGGUCUCUGGGCAGUAACUGACGCUGAGGAGCGAAAGCGUGGGGAGCGAACAGGAUUAGAUACCCUGGUAGUCCACGCCGUAAACGGUGGGUACUAGGUGUGGGUUUCCUUCCUUGGGAUCCGUGCCGUAGCUAACGCAUUAAUACCCCGCCUGGGGAGACGGCCGCAGGUUAAACUCAAGGAUUGACUGGGGCCCGCACAGCGGCGGAG
rnacentral:rRNA from 1 species